UGGAGAAAAGCAGGGGAUCGUAAGACCUUGCGCUUUUGGAGCGGCCGAUGUCUGAUUAGCUAGUUGGUGAGGUAAAGGCUUACCAAGGCUUCGAUCAGUAGCUGGUCUGAGAGGACGACCAGCCACACUGGGACUGAGUCACGGCCCAGACUCCUACGGGAGGCAGCAGUGGGGAAUUUUGGACAAUGGGCGCAAGCCUGAUCCAGCCAUGCCGCGUGAGUGAAGAAGGCCUUCGGGUUGUAAAGCUCUUUCAGCCGGGAAGAAAAGGCUGCGAUUAAUAAUCGCAGUUCAUGACGGUACCGGAAGAAGAAGCACCGGCUAACUACGUGCCAGCAGCCGCGGUAAUACGUAGGGUGCGAGCGUUAAUCGGAAUUACUGGGCGUAAAGCGUGCGCAGGUGGUUUUGUAAGUCAGAUGUGA
rnacentral:rRNA from 1 species